UGAGGAAUAUUGGUCAAUGGACGCAAGUCUGAACCAGCCAUGCCGCGUGCAGGAUGACGGUCCUAUGGAUUGUAAACUGCUUUUGCACAGGAAGAAACAACUCUACGUGUAGAGUCUUGACGGUACUGUGAGAAUAAGGAUCGGCUAACUCCGUGCCAGCAGCCGCGGUAAUACGGAGGAUCCAAGCGUUAUCCGGAAUCAUUGGGUUUAAAGGGUCCGUAGGCGGUUUAGUAAGUCAGUGGUGAAAGCCCAUCGCUCAACGGUGGAACGGCCAUUGAUACUGCUAGACUUGAAUUAUUAGGAAGUAACUAGAAUAUGUAGUGUAGCGGUGAAAUGCUUUUAGAGAUUACAUGGAAUACCAAUUGCGAAGGCAGGUUACUACUAAUUUGAUUGACGCUGAUGGACGAAAAGCGUGGGUAGCGAACA
rnacentral:rRNA from 1 species